ACAGAGGUGAUCAAGUUAAAACAAGUUAAAACAAAGUCAUUAGAGUGGGUACUGAUCCAAUAGGUCUAGUGUCCUUAGAAACCAGGGAAAAUUUAGUUAACAGGUAGCUAAAGAAAAAAAGGGUGGUGGGGGAAUUUGGAGACAGAGACAGACACACACAGAAGGGAAGAUUAUGUGAAGAGACACAGGGAGAAGACGGACAUCUACAAGCCAUGGAGAGAGGCCUGGAACAGAUCCUUCCCUCGAAGCCCUCAGGAGAACCAACCCUGCUGAUGUCUUGAUCUACGACCCCCUGUGGACACCCACCUCCAGGUCCCUGCUCGUGUGUCUUGGCUUACGCUGACCUUGGCCUUCUCUCACAUCUGCAUAUAUUCAACUAGAAGCUUCCUUCAAAGCCAUAAGACGUCACCACUUGCAAACAAGUUCUCGGAUUCCUCCUGGCUGGAAAUAACUUUCUUCUACCUCUGAACACCCCAGCACGUUGUGUUUCUCUUACUACAAUUCUCAUUCCCACCUUUUAUGUCGUAAUUAUUUAUGUUUAUCUUUCAAUUCACUUGCUAGAUGUGCACUUCCAGAAGCCAACAGAAAGAUCCUUACUGUAUCACUGUAGAAACUAGUUCUGGGCCACAUGUAGGCUUUGAACAAAAAUAUUUGUUUAAUGAAACAAAUAGUCUUCAAAUAAUAAGUCUUCUUUCAAGCCUGUUGAGCUUUCUGACAAUUCAAAAUGGCUUAUGCUAAUUAUGAAUCCUUAAUCCAACAUUUUCCAGGGCUAUAAAUGUGAAAUGUUUUUUACUUCAUUAUGUUUUUAUUUUUAUUUACUUAUUUCUUUUGAGACAGGGUCUGUCACGUAGGCUGGAGUGCAGUGGCACAAUCAUAGUUCACUGUAGCCUCAACCUCCCCAGCCCAAGCGAUCCUCCCACCUCAGCCUCCUGAGUAGCUGGGACCACAGGCGUGCACCACCACGCCCAGCUAAUUUUUGUAUUUUUGGUAGAGACUGGGUUUUGCCAUGUUGCCCAGGCUGGUCUCUAACACCUGAGCCCAAGUGAUCCACCUGCCUCAGCCUCCCAAAGUGUCGUGUUACAGGUGUGAGCCACCAUGCCUAGUCCAUUAUUAUCUAGUGUUCUAUAUCUGUAAUGUAUUUCCCAUAUCAGUUGUUCUUCAGAAACUCCGAGAAGUAUCCUUACUAUCAGUAAAAGUUAUUUUGCCCACUCUGUAUUUCACCACGUCUUCAGCAACUAUACAAAUGAUGGUACACACACACACACACACACACACACAAACACACACACACACACAGAGGAAUCUAUCCAACAACAAAAAGUAAUCAACUACAGCCAGGUGCAGUGGCACACACCUGGAGUCCUAGCCACUCAGGAGGCUGAGGUGGGAGGAUCACUUAAGCCCAGGAGUUCAAAAACCAGUCUGGGCAAUAUAGUGAGAUCCCAUCUCAAAAAAAAAAAUCAGCUACUGAUACAUACUACAACAUGAAUGAAUCUCAAAAUCUUUCUGUUCAAUGAAAGAAGCCAGUCAAAAGAGAGUACAACCUGUAUGACUCUAUUUACAUAAAACUUUAAAAUAUGCAAACUUAUCCCUAGUGAGGGAAAGUGGAUCAGCAGUUCCCAGGGAGGGGGUACGUGGAGAGAAACUGGAGGGAGAGAUUAGCAAGGGAUAUGUUGAUUGUGAUGUUGGUUUCACGGGUAUAUAUGUCAAAAUAUUAAACUGUACAACUUCAAAUAUGUGGCUUACUCAUGUAAAUUAUACUUCAAUUAAGCUUUUUUUUUUUUAACUAUGUAAUUUCUGCAUUAAGGUAUUUUUAAAUCUCUUCAAAUCUGUGAAAGGGAAGUACCAGAGAAGUCUUUUCUUGACUAUGCAAUAACAUAUUUCAAUUACAUAGAAACUAAAAUCAGCAUCAUUAAGUCUUUGUCAAAGUUUCAGAAUGUAGGUUUAACUAGAGUUGGUUUUUUAAAAAUGUAUCAGAUUACUCUUCAGACACAUAACCAAUUGUUUCUGCCUAUAGAGAACUCAGGUCUAAUAUUUACUUUUGUUCUUUUAAAGGUAUUGGAUCAAUGAUUAAGGAAGAAAGCCAAACAGGAUUAAAAAAAAAAAAAACUCCCUUCAAACUGACAUAUUGUGUAAAAUAACACAAAACAUCACAGAUGUAUGUUAGCAUUUUGAAAAUACAACAAGAAAAAUGUCCAGGACCAGAUGGAUUCACAGCUAAAUCCUAACAGACAUUUAAAGAAGAAUUGGUCUCCCUCUCCCUCUCCCUCUCCUCUUUCCACGGUCUCCGUCUGAUGCCGAGCCGAAGCUGGACUGUGCUGCUGCCAUCUCGGCUCACUGCAGCCUCCCUGCCUGAUUCUCCUGCCUCAGCCUGCCGAGUGCCUGCGAUUGCAGGCGCGCGCCCCCACGCCUGACUGGUUUUCGUAUUUUUUUGGUGGAGACGGGGUUUCGCUGUGUUGGCCGGGCUGGUCUCCAGCUCCUAACCGCGAGUGAUCCGCCAGCCUCGGCCUCCCGAGGUGCCGGGAUUGCAGAGGGAGCCUCGUUCACUCAGUGCUCAAUGGUGCCCAGGCUGGAGUGCAGUGGUGUGAUCUUGGCUGGCUGCAACCACCUCCCAGCCGCCUGCCUUGGCCUCCCAAAGAGCCGAGAUUGCAGUCUCUGCCCAGCCGCCACCCUGUCGGGGAAGUGAGGAGUGUCUCUGCGUGGCCGCCCAUCGUCUGGGAUGUGAGGAGCCCCUCUGCCUGGCUGCCCAGUCUGGAAAGUGAGGAGCGCCUCUUCCCCGCCGCCAUCCCAUCUAGGAAGUGAGGAGCGUCUCUGCCUGGCCGCCCAUCGUCUGAGAUGUGGGGAGCGCCUCUGCC
rnacentral:lncRNA from 10 species